rnacentral:rRNA from 1 species
AGUGGGGAAUAUUGGACAAUGGGCGAAAGCCUGAUCCAGCCAUGCCGCGUGUGUGAAGAAGGUCUUCGGAUUGUAAAGCACUUUAAGUUGGGAGGAAGGGCAGUAAGUUAAUACCUUGCUGUUUUGACGUUACCAACAGAAUAAGCACCGGCUAACUUCGUGCCAGCAGCCGCGGUAAUACGAAGGGUGCAAGCGUUAAUCGGAAUUACUGGGCGUAAAGCGCGCGUAGGUGGUUCAGCAAGUUGGAGGUGAAAUCCCCGGGCUCAACCUGGGAACUGCCUCCAAAACUACUGAGCUAGAGUACGGUAGAGGGUAGUGGAAUUUCCUGUGUAGCGGUGAAAUGCGUAGAUAUAGGAAGGAACACCAGUGGCGAAGGCGACUACCUGGACUGAUACUGACACUGAGGUGCGAAAGCGUGGGGAGCAAA